GAGACCUAUUAAUAGCCGCUGGAAAGAUCACAUCACGGGAGAGGAUAUUUAUCCCCCCUCAUUCCACACCAGCUCAGAUUUAUUUCAGCUCUGCUGUCCUGCUGCUGCCGCCUGGCCCUGUCUGCCGGCUUCUCCCAGGGAAGGGGAGGGAGGCAGGCACCGCCCCUCCAGUUCCCACCCCCAGCUAGACCGAGGCCAGAGGGCGCCAGCGGACCCGACAGCGGGGCCGCCGGGGGUCUGCUCGAACCGUUUUUAAGAGGAAAGGACUGGAAGGGACUAGAACAGCAGGCUUAGCCGCUUGCCAUUCCUUUCUAUCCCCUGGGCUCAGGCGCUAAAGCUGUGGGCUCCUGCCUGCGGGCAGGCCUCCCGAUUCUGACCCCCUUUAGCCCACCGGUGGCCCGGAAGCCAGGUACCCGGGGGUUGGGGGGGGGGGGGUUGCUCUCCAAGCCUGCACGGUUCAGCCCCAUCAGCACUGGGCCCAUCCCUUCCCCUCACUCCACACACACGUCCCGCCCUCCACGACACCCACACACCUUGUCUUGUUAGCCAGGAUCCUCAUGGCUCCCACACACAGUGGGGCUACGGCCCCUGUGCGUGCCCAGGGCCCAGCCAGGUACUCGGUACUGGAGCAGGGACUGCAGCAACAAGCCCCAAAGAGAAAACUUGUGACUUGGGGAGGGGGUGCGAGGAGGGGAGGGGAGACGGGAGGACCCAGCAGCCCUGGGACUAGGGUACUGGACAGGGUAGGGUGGGAACGGCCGGGAAGGAUUCCAGGCCGGGGUCUGAAUCCAUCCCUCCCGCACCUUACCCUCAGGGAGCUUGCAGUCUCUAGCAAGGCCCCCGGGGCCGCAGGGGCCGAACUCACUAAAAAGAUAGGUUGCCAAGGUGCCCGCGUGGGGCGGCUGAGAGGUCUGUCAGGCCCCCGGGGGCGGGGGGGACUCCCGCCCCCAGGCACGCCCCUCACCCGGGGAGGGGGGCGGGGGAACCCCUGGCGCCCCGCCCCAGCGCUNNNNNNNNNNNNNNNNNNNNNNNNNNNNNNNGGGGCUGGAGGUGGGGGCGAUGCCCCGCCUCCAGCUCGAGGCCUAGCCUGUGCCCAUCCCAGCAGGCCCGGGCGGGCAGCGAGAGGCCUGGCGGGGCCUCGGGGCUGCAGCUGGGCUCUUCUGGAGACCAGUAACGCUGGCUCAGAUUCCUCCCCGACCGCAAGAAUGCAGGAGCCUCCCCUCCCCCCGCCCCGGCACCCCACCCCGCCCCCUCCGGCAGAGCCCGAGCGCAGAGGCAGAGCGAGCGAGCGACAGAGCCAGCGAGCUGGGGAGCGGGCCACGGGCAGGGCUGCAGCGUGCCUCUCCCGGCCCCGCACGCGCCGCCCCGACAGACCCACGGCCAAGUGCGGCGAGGGGCCGGGCGCGCGCCGCGGCGGGGCCGAGGUGCAGGUCUGCACCGGGCGCCGCCAGGCAGGAGCCCCGGGGACCCACCAGCACCCGAACUCUGGACUCACACACACACACUCGCAGCUCACACGUGGACAGGGAGACAAAGACACGCACGGAGCCCAGGAAACUAGAGGCGCGCUCAAACGCCGGCCCGCGGAGGUGUGCGGGACCGCUAGGAAGGCGCUGGCCGAAGCAGGAGCGCAGAAAUAA
ensembl:lncRNA